rnacentral:rRNA from 1 species
UACGAAGGGGGCGAGCGUUGUUCGGAAUUACUGGGCGUAAAGGGCGCGUAGGCGGCCAACUAAGUCGGACGUGAAAUCCCCAGGCUCAACCUGGGAACUGCGUCCGAUACUGGAUGGCUUGAAUCCGGGAGAGGGAUGCAGAAUUCCAGGUGUAGCGGUGAAAUGCGUAGAUAUCUGGAGGAAUACCGGUGGCGAAGGCGGCAUCCUGGACCGGCAUUGACGCUGAGGAGCGAAAGCCAGGGGAGCAAACGGG